AACCAUAGAAACCUGCGGAGUACCUGCGGAAGGAUCAUUACCGAGUUUACAAACUCCCAACCCUAUGUGAACCUUACCAAUCGUUGCUUCGGCGGGCUUAGCCCCCGCGCCCUCGCCGGCGCCGGGAGAAAGGCGCCCGCCGGGGACCCCAAACCCAAUGUUUUUCAUGCAGUAUUUCUGAGUGGCAAACGCAAAAAUAAAUCAAAACUUUCAACAAUGGAUCUCAGAUCGGAAGAGCAC
rnacentral:misc_RNA from 1 species